rnacentral:rRNA from 1 species
AACGAACGCUGGCGGCAUGCCUAAUACAUGCAAGUCGAACGAGAUCUUCGGAUCUAGUGGCGCACGGGUGCGUAACGCGUGGGAAUCUGCCCUUGGGUUCGGAAUAACGUCGGGAAACUGACGCUAAUACCGGAUGAUGACGUAAGUCCAAAGAUUUAUCGCCCAAGGAUGAGCCCGCGUAGGAUUAGCUAGUUGGUGAGGUAAAGGCUCACCAAGGCGACGAUCCUUAGCUGGUCUGAGAGGAUGAUCAGCCACACCGGGACUGAGACACGGCCCAGACUCCAACGGGAGGCAGAGGUAGGGAAGAUUGGACAUGGGGGGAAAGCUUGACCCAGAAAUGCGGCUGGGGUGAUGAGGGCCUUAGGGUUGAAAAGCUUUUUUCCCCGGAAUGAUAAUGACAGUACCGGAAGAAUAAGCCCCGGCUACCCCCGUGCCAGCAGCCCCCGUAA